rnacentral:misc_RNA from 1 species
GGGAAAUAUUUUUAUUCCUUUAUGAUGAUCAGAUCCAAAUAUUAUUUUUGAGGCUAUAUGAGAAGUAAAAUUUUUCACAUGCUCAUCCACCACUAUAUCAACAAUUCCACCCUCACCAUUUGCAUCAAUUAUCUUCUCCCAUGAUUUAACAAGUAUGCUACUAGACUCCACCAUCAGAUUCACCAUUUCCUUAACCUUGUGCAUGUAGAGCGGGGGAGCAACGGUCUUUCUCUGAUGAUACCAAACUGCACCAUUGGUGACAUUAAGGCCUUUACCAAGUAAAGCUCCUCUUUCAUUUCGUAGGUAAGCUGGUUUUCCAAGCUCCAAUGAUGUGA